CACCACUGCAGGACAACAUGGCUGCCACACGAGCUCUCCUUCUGGUGGUGAUCGGCGUCGCGGCGGUUUGCUUACUGGCGACAGCUGCUCCCGCCGAUGAAACAAGGCCGGCGGAGGCGAGUGGCCCAGCCCUGGCCGCAGCGGCACCGCCACAG